rnacentral:snRNA from 1 species
GUAUUCACUAAAGCAGCACAUGUACUUAAACUGGAAUGAUAGACAAGAUUAACAUGGCCCCUGUGUGACGAUUACGCACAAAUCUGUGAAAGUUCCAAGUUUAA